GACGAACGCUGGCGGCGUGCUUAACACAUGCAAGUCGAGCGGUAAGGCCCUUUCGGGGGUACACGAGCGGCGAACGGGUGAGUAACACGUGGGUGACCUGCCCUUAGCUCUGGGAUAAGCCUGGGAAACUGGGUCUAAUACCGGAUAUGACUCCAUGACGCAUGUUGUGGGGUGGAAAGCCUUGUGCGGCUAGGGAUGGGCCUGCGGCCUAUCAGCUUGUUGGUGGGGUGANGGCCUACCAAGGCGACGACGGGUAGCCGGCCUGAGAGGGCGACCGGCCACACUGGGACUGAGACACGGCCCAGACUCCUACGGGAGGCAGCAGUGGGGAAUCUUGCGCAAUGGGCGAAAGCCUGACGCAGCGACGCCGCGUGGGGAUGACGGCCUCGGUUGUAA
rnacentral:rRNA from 1 species